rnacentral:rRNA from 1 species
UACGUAGGGUGCGAGCGUUGUCCGGAAUUACUGGGCGUAAAGAGCUCGUAGGUGGUUUGUCGCGUUGUCCGUGAAAACUCACAACUCAAUUGUGGGCGUGCGGGCGAUACGGGCAGACUGGAGUACUGCAGGGGAGACUGGAAUUCCUGGUGUAGCGGUGAAAUGCGCAGAUAUCAGGAGGAACACCGAUGGCGAAGGCAGGUCUCUGGGCCAUAACUGACGCUGAGAAGCGAAAGCAUGGGGAGCGAACAGG